UACGUAGGGGGCUAGCGUUGUCCGGAAUCAUUGGGCGUAAAGCGCACGUAGGCGGACUCUUAAGUCGGUGGUGAAAUCCUGGAGCUCAACUCCAGAACUGCCUUCGAUACUGAGAGUCUUGAGUCCGGGAGAGGUGAGUGGAACUGCGAGUGUGGAGGUGAAAUUCGUAGAUAUUCGCAAGAACACCAGUGGCGAAGGCGGCUCACUGGCCCGGUACUGACGCUGAGGUGCGAAAGCGUGGGGAGCAAACAGG
rnacentral:rRNA from 1 species